rnacentral:rRNA from 1 species
UACGUAGGUGGCAAGCGUUGUCCGGAUUUAUUGGGCGUAAAGAGCUCGUAGGUGGUCCUCUAAGUUUGGUGUGAAAUCUCCCGGCUCAACUGGGAGGGUGCGCCGAAAACUGGGGGACUAGAGUGUGGGAGAGGAAAGCGGAAUUCCUGGUGUAGCGGUGAAAUGCGUAGAUAUCAGGAGGAACACCUGCGGUGUAGACGGCUUUCUGGACCACUACUGACACUGAGGCACGAAAGCGUGGGGAGCAAACAGG